rnacentral:tRNA from 1 species
UCCCUGGUAGCUUAGCUGGUAAAGAAUCUGCUUGUAAUGCAGGGUACUCCAGUUCAAUUCCUGACUUGGGAA